AUUGAACGCUGGCGGCAGGCCUAACACAUGCAAGUCGAACGAGCGGCGGACGGGUGAGUAAUGUCUGGGAAACUGCCCGAUGGAGGGGGAUAACUACUGGAAACGGUAGCUAAUACCGCAUACCAUCGGAUGUGCCCAGAUGGGAUUAGCUAGUAGGUGGGGUAACGGCUCACCUAGGCGACGAUCCCUAGCUGGUCUGAGAGGGUGACCAGCCACACUGGAACUGAGACACGGUCCAGACUCCAAUGGGGCGCAGCAGUGGGGAUUAUUUCACAGUGGGGGCAAGCCUGAUGCAGCGAUGCCGCGUGUAUGAAGAAGGCCUUCGGGUUGUAAACCGCUGGCCGCCAUGACGCGGUAGUGGCAGAAGAAGCACCGGCUAACUACGUGCCAGCAGCCGCGGUAAUUC
rnacentral:rRNA from 1 species